rnacentral:rRNA from 1 species
CAAUAGCGUAUAUUUAAGUUGCUGCAGUUAAAAAGCUCGUAGUUGGAUUUCGGGUGGGAAUGGCCGGUCCGCCGUUUCGGUGUGCACUUGCUACGCCCACCUUGCUGCCGGGGACGUGCUCUUGAGUUCACGCUCGGGACACGGAGUCGGCGAGGUUACUUUGAGUAAAUUAGAGUGUUCAAAGCAGGCCUACGCUCUGAAUACAUUAGCAUGGAAUAACACGAUAGGACUCUGGCCUAUCUUGUUGGUCUGUAGGACCGGAGUAAUGAUUAAGAGGGACAGUCGGGGGCAUCGUAUUUCAUUGUCAGAGGUGAAAUUCUUGGAUUUAUGAAAGACGAACUACUGCGAAAGCAUUUGCCAAGGAUGUUUUCAUUAA